AACGUACGCUGGCGGCACGCCUAACACAUGCAAGUCGAACGCAGUAGCAAUACUGAGUGGCAGACGGGUGAGUAACAUGUGGGAAUCUGCCUUGUGGUUCAGGACAACAUUGGGAAACCGAUGCUAAUACUGGAUAAGCCCUUACGGGGAAAGUUUUAAUGCCAUAAGAUGAGCCCGCAUUUGAUUAGUUAGUUGGUGAGGUAAUGGCUCACCAAGACAAUGAUCAAUAGCUGAUCUGAGAGGAUGAUCAGCCACACUGGGACUGAGACACGGCCCAGACUCCUACGGGAGGCAGCAGUGGGGAAUCUUGCACAAUGGAGGAAACUCUGAUGCAGCGAUGCCGCGUGAGUGAAGAAGGCCUUUGGGUUGUAAAGCUCUUUUGUAGGGGAAGAUAAUGACUGUACCCUAAGAAUAAGGUACCGGCUAACUUCGUG
rnacentral:rRNA from 1 species